rnacentral:rRNA from 1 species
UGCAUAUCAAUAAGCGGAGGAAAAGAAACCAACAGGGAUUGCCCUAGUAACGGCGAGUGAAGCGGCAACAGCUCAAAUUUGAAAUCUGGCCUCGGCCCGAGUUGUAAUUUGCAGAGGAAGCUUUGGGCGCGGCACCGACCGAGUCCCCUGGAACGGGGCGCCAUAGAGGGUGAGAGCCCCGUAUGGUCGGACGCCUAGCCUGUGUAAAGCUCCUUCGACGAGUCGAGUAGUUUGGGAAUGCUGCUCAAAAUGGGAGGUAAAUUUCUUCUAAAGCUAAAUACCGGCCAGAGACCGAUAGCGCACAAGUAGAGUGAUCGAAAGAUGAAAAGCACUUUGAAAAGAGGGUUAAAUAGCACGUGAAAUUGUUGAAAGGGAAGCGCUUGUGACCAGACUUGCGCCCGGCUGAUCAUCCGGUGUUCUCACCGGUGCACUCUGCCGGGCUCAGGCCAGCAUCGGUUCUCGCGGGGGGACAAAGGCUCUGGGAACGUAGCUCCUCCGGGAGUGUUAUAGCCCAGGGUGCAAUGCCCUCGCGGGGACCGAGGUUCGCGCAUCUGCAAGGAUGCUGGCGUAAUGGUCACCAGCGACCCGUCUUGAAACACGGACCA